rnacentral:lncRNA from 1 species
UCCUCUUCUGCAGGUACAUUGACGUAGAGCGCGCAUCGUGGACUCCAAAGCCUCCGGCCCUCCUCGCAACCCCGCGAGCCUACUGGUAGCAGAUUCCGUGCUUCAUCAGCUGACGCCGUCUGUGGGAAUAUCGAACCACGAUAUCCCGUCGUAAUCGCGAAAUUUUCUUCGCAAAGUUCAGCUCGAUUCCCUUAGGGUGAGUCGCUGACUUUGUGUCAAGGAAUCUCCGAUUCACACUGGCAAUCGCCGACUCCACCUAGUGAGUCGCCGAUUGCGGGUUAUUCUGCUAGCUAAGAGUGCUGUCCACGGCU